UACGUAGGGGGCAAGCGUUGUCCGGAAUCAUUGGGCGUAAAGAGCGCGUAGGCGGCCCUGUAAGUCCGCUGUGAAAGUCAAGGGCUCAACCCUUGGAUGCCGGUGGAUACUGCAGGGCUAGAGUCCGGAAGAGGCGAGUGGAAUUCCUGGUUUAGCGGUGAAAUGCGCAGAUAUCAGGAGGAACACCGAUGGCGAAGGCAGCUCGCUGGGACGGUACUGACGCUGAGGCGCGAAAGCGUGGGGAGCAAACAGG
rnacentral:rRNA from 1 species